CGGGGCGUAGCUCAGUCUGGUAGAGCACUAGCUUUGGGAGCUAGGGGCCGCGAGUUCAAGUCCCGCCGCCCCGACCA
rnacentral:tRNA from 1 species